rfam:Dipodomys ordii contig_8116, whole genome shotgun sequence.
GGGAAUGUAGCUUUGUGGUAGAGUGCUUGCCUAGCAUGCAUGAAGCCCUGGGUUCAAUUCCUCAGUACCA